GGAAACUCCCCCAACUGCAGCCUUAGUGCCCAGCUCCGGUCUCAGAGACUAAAGAGCAGGCUGGCCUCCAACUCACAGACAUCCCCCUGCCUCCGCCUCCGCCUCCCAGGUGCUGGGACUGAGGGCGAGCGCCGCCACCGCCAGGCUGUGGCUUCUUCUUCUUUAGACUCUGACUUGAGGCGUUUUCUCCGGGAGCUCAAACCAGGCCGUUGGCCGGCGACUCCGCCCCACAGACCCGAGGCCUCUCCACAGCUCCACAGGCCCGGGCGGCUCCACAGACCCGGAUCUCUCUACAGAUCAGGGCCUCUCUACAGACCCGGACUUCUCCACAGCUCCACAGACCCGGGGCCUCUCCACAGACCCGGGGCCUCUCCACAGACCCGGGGCCUCUCCACAGACCCGGGGCCUCUCCACAGACCCGGACCUCUCCACAGACCAGGACCUCUCCACAGACCCGGGACCUCUCCACAGACCCGGACCUCUCCACAGAACCGGAGCCGGGGCCUCUCCACAGCCCCGGGGCCUCUCCACAGCCCCGGGCGGCUCCACAGGCCCGGGAGCUCUCCACAGACCCGGGACCUCUCCACAGACCAGGACCUCUCCACAGGCCCGGAGCCGGGGCCUCUCCACAGACCCGGGACGUCUCCACAGACCCGGGACCUCUCCACAGCUCCACAGGCCCGGGAGCUCUCCACAGACCCAGGACCUCUCCACAGGCCCGGGCGGCUCCACAGCUCCACAGACCCGGGACCUCUCCACAGCCCCGGGGCCUCUCCACAGACCCGGGACCUCUCCACAGACCCGGACCUCUCCCAAUGUCAGAAAAGGAAGUUACUCACUUUGUACUCUGUUAAAGACAUGGGAACAGAGAGGCACAGUAGGACAGGGUUGUUGCAUGGGGAGAAGGGGCUUCCAGCUCUUACUUCUGCUCUUAGCCUAAGGUCCUGUUGGAACUCGUUAUGCAGGGCAAAUAUCCAGCCUCCUGGGAAGGGCAUCUGUUAG
rnacentral:lncRNA from 1 species